UACGGAGGGUGCGAGCGUUGUCCGGAAUCACUGGGCGUAAAGGGCGCGUAGGCGGCGCGACAAGGCGGCGGUGAAAGUCCGGGGCUCAACCCCGGAUCGGCCGUGGCGACUGUCGCGCUGGAGCACAGUAGAGGCGGGUGGAAUUCCGGGUGUAGCGGUGGAAUGCGUAGAGAUCCGGAAGAACACCGGUGGCGAAGGCGGCCCGCUGGGCUGUGGCUGACGCUGAGGCGCGACAGCGUGGGGAGCAAACAGG
rnacentral:rRNA from 2 species